CCUACGGGGUGCAGCAGUGGGGAAUAUUGGACAAUGGGCGAAAGCCUGAUCCAGCCAUGCCGCGUGUGUGAAGAAGGCCUUCGGGUUGUAAAGCACUUUCAGUGGGGAAGAAAGCCUUGGGGCUAAUACCCUCGAGGAAGGACAUCACCCACAGAAGAAGCACCGGCUAACUCCGUGCCAGCAGCCGCGGUAAUACGGAGGGUGCGAGCGUUAAUCGGAAUUACUGGGCGUAAAGCGCGCGUAGGCGGUCUGAUAAGCCGGUUGUGAAAGCCCCGGGCUCAACCUGGGAACGGCAUCCGGAACUGUCAGGCUAGAGUGCAGGAGAGGAAGGUAGAAUUCCCGGUGUAGCGGUGAAAUGCGUAGAGAUCGGGAGGAAUAACAGUGGCGAAGGCGGCCUUCUGGACUGACACUGACGCUGAGGUGCGAAAGCGUGGGUAGCAAACAGGAUUAGAUACCCGAGUAGUC
rnacentral:rRNA from 1 species